rnacentral:rRNA from 1 species
GAUGAACGCUGGCGGCGGGCCUAAUACAUGCAAGUCGAGCGAAUGGAUUAAGAGCUUGCUCUUAUGAAGUUAGCGGCGGACGGGUGAGUAACACGUGGGUAACCUGCCCAUAAGACUGGGAUAACUCCGGGAAACCGGGGCUAAUACCGGAUAACAUUUUGAACCGCAUGGUUCGAAAUUGAAAGGCGGCUUCGGCUGUCACUUAUGGAUGGACCCGCGUCGCAUUAGCUAGUUGGUGAGGUAACGGCUCACCAAGGCAACGAUGCGUAGCCGACCUGAGAGGGUGAUCGGCCAGACUGGGACUGAGACACGGCCCAGACUCCUACGGGAGGCAGCAGUAGGGAAUCUUCCGCAAUGGACGAAAGUCUGACGGAGCAACGCCGCGUGAGUGAUGAAGGCUUUCGGGUCGUAAAACUCUGUUGUUAGGGAAGAACAAGUGCUAGUUGAAUAAGCUGGCACCUUGACGGUACCUAACCAGAAAGCCACGGCUAACUACGUGCCAGCAGCCGCCGUAA